GCCAGGCAUGGUGGCGGGCGCCUGUAGUCCCAGCUACUUGGGAGGCUGAGUCAGGAGAAUCACUUGAACCCGGGAGGUGGAGGUUCCAGUGAGCUGAGAUUGUGCCACUGCACUCCAGCCUGGGUGACAGAGUGAGACUCUGUCUCAU
ensembl:misc_RNA Metazoa_SRP Metazoan signal recognition particle RNA